rnacentral:rRNA from 1 species
GAUGAACGCUGGCGGCGUGCCUAAUACAUGCAAGUCGAGCGAAUGGAUUAAGAGCUUGCUCUUAUGAAGUUAGCGGCGGACGGGUGAGUAACACGUGGGUAACCUGCCCAUAAGACUGGGAUAACUCCGGGAAACCGGGGCUAAUACCGGAUAACAUUUUGAACCGCAUGGUUCGAAAUUGAAAGGCGGCUUCGGCUGUCACUUAUGGAUGGACCCGCGUCGCAUUAGCUAGUUGGUGAGGUAACGGCUCACCAAGGCAACGAUGCGUAGCCGACCUGAGAGGGUGAUCGGCCACACUGGGACUGAGACACGGCCCAGACUCCUACGGGAGGCAGCAGUAGGGAAUCUUCCGCAAUGGACGAAAGUCUGACGGAGCAACGCCGCGUGAGUGAUGAAGGCUUUCGGGUCGUAAAACUCUGUUGUUAGGGAAGAACAAGUGCUAGUUGUAUAAGCUGACACCUUGACGGUACCUAACCAGAAAGCCACGGCUAACUACGUGCAGCCGCCGCCGUAA